GCCCCUGUAGCUCAGAGGAUAGAGCGGCAGCGUCCUAAGUUGCGCGUCGGGGGUUCGAGUCCCUCCAGGGGUACCA
rnacentral:tRNA from 1 species